UUCAGCGAUGAUCGUCGAGUGUGCGUGU
rnacentral:sRNA from 1 species